GCGCCCGUAGCUCAUCAGGAUAGAGCAUCAGAUUCCUAAUCUGGGGGUAGCAGGUUCGAGUCCUGCCGGGCGCACCA
rnacentral:tRNA from 1 species